CUCUUUUUUUUGGUUUUGGGGUUUUCUGUCAGUCACCCCUCUUGGAGUUUUGUCAGGAGAUCUCUCAGUGCAGUCUGAGGGGGAGGAGUGUUGGAGCUUGAGCUUCCCUGUCCUCUGGAAGCUUUGAUUGGAUUAAAGUCCAGCAUUCUGUGGGGGAGGGGUUGGAAUAUUGAGGUUCCCUGACUUCUGAAGACUUUUGAUGGCAUUAAGUUCAGCUGGGUUGGGCUGGAUGUGUCCUGAGGCCAAAAUAUCCUGGAAAGUUGGAGCAAUUUGCAGGGCCUCCGCCACUGGGACCAGGCUGCCCCCUCUGUGCUCCCUCUCCACAUCCUUCCCCACCACCUGUGUUUGAUGCUCUGAGCCUGACACAGCCCUGCCCUCAAGAGUUGGAAGUAAUGAGGCAAGAAUGAGUUCUACAUAAUAUCCUGUGUGCAUUAAUAAACAUGCUCAUUUCGCCAAAUUUUCAUGACGCUUGCCAUCAAUACCACACCAUUUGGAAGCUGCACCAGCACAGUGCCUAGCAAAUAUUGACUCAAAUUCUGACAGUGGAAUAUUCUACAAGGUCAAUAAAUAUUUGAAGGAAAAAUGA